GGGUCACACCAAAAGAACACUCUCAUUGCCUACUAACCAGCAAAUGUGCUAUGACGACCGAUUCACAAGCUACUUGAUAUUUUUUCACUUAGUUGAUCUAGAUUAUAUUCUAGAUGCUACAUACUUUUGAAUGAUGUUUUUUUAACAAACCGUCUUUCGUUCUCAAUUCAGUAAUUUACAUUCUUAUCUCUCUUUUUAGGAGAAGCAGUUCUGAUUUAUUGUAGACUUGUUA
rnacentral:misc_RNA from 1 species